UACGGAGGGUGCAAGCGUUAAUCGGAAUUACUGGGCGUAAAGCGCACGCAGGCGGUCUUUUAAGUCAGAUGUGAAAGCCCCGGGCUCAACCUGGGAAUUGCAUCUGAAACUGGAAGGCUAGAGUCUCGUAGAGGGGGGUAGAAUUCCAUGUGUAGCGGUGAAAUGCGUAGAGAUGUGGAGGAAUACCGGUGGCGAAGGCGGCCCCCUGGACGAAGACUGACGCUCAGGUGCGAAAGCGUGGGGAGCAAACAGG
rnacentral:rRNA from 1 species